GGCCAAAAGACGACUGCGCAGUAGAAAGUGUAAGGAAAUCUCGCAGCGAGGCAGGAGGCGGUCGAGAGCAGACUAGAUUUAUAUUAUUGAGUUGAUUGAUAGCUGUUUUGGGCCUUAUGACAUUGAAUGUAACCGAAACUGAAGCUCGAACUGUUUUGCAUUGGUUUUCCUCUUGGGACAGUGAAGAGAAAGAUAAAUUUUUAGCACUUCUUUUAGAAAAGGCACUACCUAAUAACGUGUCUUUUCUCACAGAAUGUUUAGAUUAUCUGUCCAUGCGUGAAAAUUGUCCAAAUAUUUUCAGGUGCCAAUUAAAAUUAUUUUCUGUCUGGUUCGACCAGUGGUCCGACAGAGAAAGAAAUAAUUUUUUACGAAAAUU